GCAGAGUAGAGCAGGCGCGUUAAGUGCCCAUGGACGGGGAGUUGUCAUGGGACGAAGCCGGGUUCCCGGCGCGGUAACUGCAUCGCAUCCCGCUGC
rnacentral:ncRNA from 1 species